rnacentral:rRNA from 1 species
UAACACAUGCAAGUCGAGCGGCAGCGGAAAGUAGCUUGCUACUUUGCCGGCGAGCGGCGGACGGGUGAGUAAUGUCUGGGAAACUGCCUGAUGGAGGGGGAUAACUACUGGAAACGGUAGCUAAUACCGCAUAACGUCGCAAGACCAAAGAGGGGGACCUUCGGGCCUCUUGCCAUCAGAUGUGCCCAGAUGGGAUUAGCUAGUAGGUGGGGUAACGGCUCACCUAGGCGACGAUCCCUAGCUGGUCUGAGAGGAUGACCAGCCACACUGGAACUGAGACACGGUCCAGACUCCUACGGGAGGCAGCAGUGGGGAAUAUUGCACAAUGGGCGCAAGCCUGAUGCAGCCAUGCCGCGUGUAUGAAGAAGGCCUUCGGGUUGUAAAGUACUUUCAGCGGGGAGGAAGGUGUUGUGGUUAAUAACCACAGCAAUUGACG